CCUCCACCAAUCCAUGUAGUGUGGUGCUCAAUUGAUUUCACGCAAUAAACUGGUCUAUAUAUAACAAAGUUUUGGUUACAAAUAUAGGAGCAUAGGUUUUGAAUCGGAUUCUAGGGCUGUAGUGCCUUCACCACUAUGAUGUUUUAUGGUAGGAAAUGCACAAGCUCAUAUUGAACGCUACAAGAUCCACCGAAUUGACACGGGGAAGUUGGGUGGUGGUGGACCAGCUGAUGUACUAUAAAGAACACAUAAAUUAAAACCAGUCGAUCCACCCAAAGUAUGAUUAAAACCUUGAAAGAAGUGUUCUAUGGAAGAUCAAAAUGGAAUGGUAUAUUCCAAGAAUAAACCCUUCCACUCACCGCCUCUUCUCGAUGUACUCAAUUGACCCCAAAAAAAAAGCCCCAAAUUAAACAAAUGGAACAACCAUUUUGAUUGUGUUUUGCAUUUGUAUUGGCGCUCUGCUGAUUUCAUAAUGCUAUAAAUGGAAAAGUUGAGAGGAUCAUUUUGGUUUUUGGGGUCAUUAUUGGAGAACUCAAUGAAGAGAAUUCGGUUUCUGUAAUUCACUGGAAUACGUGUGCUCUAAACCAGUGGAAUUUGUAGUGUUAAGGCAUUGCUGCAAUAUUGGAUCCUGAAUGACAUUGACAUAUUCAACUGGCCACAUUGAAAGUGCUUGGCAUGGUGGAGCAAAUUAUAAACGUGUGGUGAUCGCAUUACGUUGCCC
rnacentral:lncRNA from 1 species